rnacentral:rRNA from 1 species
AACGAACGCUGGCGGCAUGCCUAACACAUGCAAGUCGAACGAGAUCUUCGGGUCUAGUGGCGCACGGGUGCGUAACGCGUGGGAAUCUGCCCUUUGGUUCGGAAUAACAGUUGGAAACGACUGCUAAUACCGGAUGAUGACGAAAGUCCAAAGAUUUAUCGCCAGAGGAUGAGCCCGCGUAGGAUUAGCUAGUUGGUGUGGUAAAGGCGCACCAAGGCGACGAUCCUUAGCAGGUCUGAGAGGAUGAUCAGCCACACUGGGACUGAGACACGGCCCAGACUCCUACGGGAGGCAGCAGUGGGGAAUAUUGGACAAUGGGCGAAAGCUUGAUCCAGCAAUGCCGCGUGAGUGAUGAAGGCCUUAGGGUUGUAAAGCUCUUUUACCCGGGAUGAUAAUGACAGUACCGGGAGAAUAAGCUCCGGCUAACUCCGUGCCAGCAGCCGCGGUAA